AAGGCUGAGGACAGUUGGAUUCAGGAUGCUGCCCGCACAGAACUUGUUAUUCAGGUCUUCUGAUUCCAAGAAAGUAUUCUUUCUCACACACUCGCUAAAUUCUCUUUUUAUCAGAGAGUCGACCUCAAGCUCAAAGCCCUAGAAAAUAUUACAAAGCUGUUGCCAAGUUUCAGUCCCCACAAAAUGUGGAUUCUUCCCAGGAUAUGUCAGUAUCAAAGGAGGCAAGACAAACAACAAUAUGAUUAGAGAAGACUUCCCAGAGUGGGUAGGAUGGGACCUCUGCUUUAAUAGAUGAAUAGAAUUCAAAAAUUGCUAAGUGAAUUCACAACUCAGGAAGAGUUCACAGAGCUCCUCGUCUGCAAAGCCAUGCUGUAUUUCAGACAAGCCAAAUGACUGUCCUCUAAAGUGUCAUCUCCAAUUGAUUGGUCUGGGUUCAGCGGAGAAGAGUGCCACAAUCAACUGGUGAUGCCUGCCACAGGUCAGAGAUUGGAGAAAGGGACUCUGUGUGCCACGUGCUUGCCUUACCUACUCAAAGCUCUCAGGAACCUGUUUUUCAACAUCAUAAGGAAAAUGCUUUGUCCCAAUUCAAAUUUUACGUAUCUUCAAAUGAAAAUAACUUGUCCUUAAGUUGUGCUAAUGCUGAGGUGUUCUAGUAGCCAGAAUGGGAAAAGAAUAUAAGACGACAUAUUUGUUUUCAGGUGAGGGUUCUCUCACUUUCUCCCUAAAUCCCACCGCCCUUCUGCUCCUCUGCUUCUCAGACAACAGUAUGUGUGUGGUUGGAGGAGAGCAUGUAGAGGUUUCCGGGAUAAUGUCAAUACAGGCGUAGAGGCCUGUGGGGGAGCCUUUAAAGGGAGGAAGAGAGAGAAUCCAUUUGGCAGGAUGCCAGGUGAAGAGGGGCUCAAUCUAAGAGCCUCUCUAUGUAUACAUUUUCUCCUCUCGUUCCUCUUUUGGCUGCAGUUCCUUUAUUUUCUCAUUUCUAGAAAUAAUAGGAUAUGUGGAAGGAGGAAGAUGAAGAAGCAGAAGAGCAUCUCUGGCUUUGAAACUCUCCAGGGACAUGGGCUACAGAAAGGCCAAAGGGGCCCUUUCUAUCUGCUGGGCCCU
rnacentral:lncRNA from 1 species